rnacentral:lncRNA from 10 species
CCUGAGUAGCUGGGAUUACAGGCAUGUGCCACCACGCCCGGCUAAUUUUGUAUUUUUAGUAGAAACAGGGUUUCUCCAUGUUGGUCAGCCUGGUGUUGAACUCCCAACCUUAGGUGAUCCGCCUGCCUCGGCCUCCUAAAGUGCUGGGAUUACAGGCGUGAGCCACUACGCCUGGCGCACCUGAGUCUUUCUAGUCCAGGCUGAGCUCUGGGCCGUUCAGCGCUUCUCAAACCCACAGCAGUGCCUCAUUGCAAGAGGAGCUGGUGGGAUACAGGAGAAAGUGGGGAGGGAAAAGGCGGGUCAAGGAACUGAACUAGAGGCUCACUCGACAGUUCUCCAGGUCUUUGUUGUUUACUGAAGGAACCUUAUGAACGUGGCCUUCGCACUCCCUGCUCUGUCUGUGUUUGUUUUAAUAUAACCGAUUCCCUCCCCUCUUGCCAACAAAGGGUUGGAGUAAAACUGACUGCAUAGAGCCUGCCUAACUGUGCACUGUCCCUCGCUGUGGACUCUGCACCCCUAGCGCAGGAGGGUCCCAGGGCUCCAGGGGCGAGGCCCCACAGGCACCCCCUUCCCUCCACACAGCCGGUCUUUCCCUCCUCCAUUCUCAGACCUCACCCUCCCCACAUGUCAUAAAGGUCCUGUGCCCUGACCUCACUGAGUCACCUGUUUCUCUGUAUCUCUAUGUUUCUGUGGCUGCUUCUACCCCUAGACAGUGGCCUCCAACACUUAAUUAUGGUGGGCAGGGCCACGGUCUGCCUCCCUCGGUGUCCUCAGCACAGCAGGCCUAGCCUGGGUAGGUGGACCCUGGGAAAAGAAAUGAGUGAAUGAGGCCGGGCGCGGUGGCUCACGCCCGUAAUCCCAGCACUUUGGGAGGUCGAGGAGGGCAGAUCGCUUGAGGCCAGGAGUUUGAAACCAGCCUGGCCAACAUGGUGAAAUCCCGUCUCUGCUAAAAAUACAAAAACUAGCCAGGCGUGGUGGCUCACGUUUGUAACGCCAGCUGCUCGGGAGGCUGAGGCAGGAGAAUCGCUUGAACCCGGUAGGCGGAGGUUGCAGUGAGCCGAGAUCGCGCCACUGCACUCCAGCCUGGGCAAUAGAGCGAGACUCCAUUUCAAAAGAAAGAAAGGAAAGAAAAGAAUGAAAGAAAGAAAGAAAGAGAAAAAGAAAGAAAGAAGAAAGAAAGAAAGAAAGAAAGAAAGAAAAAAGAAAGAACGAAAGAAAGAAAAGAGAAAAAGAAAGAAAGAAGAAAGAAAGAAAGAAAGAAAGAAAGAAAGGAAGGAAGGAAGGAAGGAAGGAAGGAAGGAAGGAAGGAAGGAAGAAAGAAAUGAGUGAAUGAACAAAUGGAAGGGCAGUAGGCCCUCUGGGGCUGCGGUGAGCCAGAUAAUGACCCAAAGAUGUCCAUGUCCUGAUCCCGCAAACCUGCAAAUGUGUUAACCUACAUGGCAAAAGGGACUUUGCAGAUGUGACGGAGUUAGGAAUCUGGAGAUGGGAAGAAAUUCCACCUACGGCCAGCGGCUUCAGUCCCUGCCUGAGCCCCAGCCCGCCCCUCCCGCUGGCCUGCCUGCACCUGUCAGCCUUUCCCAGCCAGCCCCACAAUCACAUGUGCCAAUUCCUUGCAAUCUAUCUGUCCAUCUUUAUCUCUGCCUCUAUAUUUCCUCCAGGUUCUGUUUCUCUGGUUAAGCCCUGACUGAUACAGGAGCCCAGGAGAUUGGCCUCCUGGGUCUGUAUUUGGGAGACCACUCAGAAUGUGGCGGAGGUGGGUAGGGGAGAGCCGGCCCAGGAAUAGUCCGGGGAGUCUGGUGCCCUUCAGUUGGAGCCUGUGUUGCACCCACAUCUCCAGGGCCAGGAGGCUGGUCCUGUUGACCUUGGCUGUGGGCCCAGUGGAGGUGGAGUGCAGGCCCCCACAGGCAGCUGAGCAAACAGGGGAGUGGGGGCUGGGGGAGCAGAGCUGGGGAAGGGACGGGGAGAGGAAGGAGCCGUGGGAUGCAGGUGAGGACAAAGAGUGGGCCUGGAGGUGCUGGGAAAGCCGGGCCAACCCUGCCAAGUCCUGCUCCUGUGUCUAGCCUGUGGCCACGCUGAGCCAGGCCCUGGGGACACCACGGAAGACACGACAUAGCUCCUGCCCGCAUGAAGCACACUGUCCCCGUCCCUGAGCUGCCUGGACCCCCAGUGAGUGCAGCUUCUGGCGCAUAGUAAAUAGCUAUGGAAUGAAUGAUCUGAGACCAGACUCCAGCCAACAGAGGUCCUAGAAAGAGGCAUUUGACAAAUAAGGCCUGGGAAGAGAGAAAAGGAUGACCUGGUGGAGACCUGGAGUAGGGAGUGGGAUGAGAAGGGGCCUGGGCUGGGAGGACCAGCUGCCCAUGCAUGUCCAGGGCAGCCCCACAGCCCUGCGGAGAAGAGUUCUUUUCCGGUCUCACCUCCAUCCAUCCACCCCCAUGCGUGGCUAAUUUUCCUUUUUAGGGACAGCUGCCCUUCCCGCUCCCCACAGAGUAAUCGGAGCCAGAAUCUCUGCCUGGUUUCUGAGAACCCCAUCUGCCCAGACCUCGCCUGGACUGUGGUUUUAGCAAAUAAUUUGGAUCCUUCUAGAGCUUGGGGGAGGAAGCUUCCGCCCCUUCCUCCUUAGUGGUGUUAAGAAAUGCUCAGCAUUCCUGGGUUAAGAGGGCCAGGGGCCAUUCUUCUCAGCACAGGGACAGACCCAGAGGAACAAAAUGAAGAAGGAACCCAGCACCCGUCCCAGGCUCUCAGCUCCUUCCCGGGGGUCACCUGGGGACUGGCAGGUGAGGCCAAUUCAUUCAGCUCCCAGGGAAGGAGGCCUUGGGGAGCCCGAGAAUGUUCAAGAGCAAGUUCCUGGGGCUUCCCGCACAGGGUUCUGAGCUCCUGUCUCAGAGCUCCCAGAGGAGGCCCUGUCUGGUUCCUGCUAGUCUCCGCAUCAUGUCUAGUCCAGCCUGGCACCGGGGAGCACUCCAUGAGGGUUUAUGGAUCGGAUGCAGGGCGGAGAAGUAGGAUGUAGGGUAUCAGAAAUGGCCUCCAGGAGGGCCCACAUCUAUGCUGUGGGAAGUAAACAGUGAGCCUGGGGGGUGUGCGCCGGGGCUCAGGCGCUGCUACAGGCCGGAUGUGAGGACUCCCAUUUAUUCCUCACACAGCGCUGUGAUUGUGCUACCACGAUACCCCCAUAUCACAGAUGAAGGGGCCAGAGCCCAGAAAGGGUAAGUAACUUGUCCAAGGACACACAGCAGAUAAGUGCAGGGACCAGUAUUUGGACUCCAGAGUUCCUGCUUUUUUGUUUUGUAGAGAUGAGUCUCACUAGGUUGCCCAGGCUGGUUUCCAACUCCUGGCCUAAAGCAAUCCUCCUGCGUCAGCCUCCUGAGUUGCUGGGACUAGAUGCACGGCUACUGCACCCAGCCUGAAGUCCCUGCUUUUAAGUGCUAGGCACACUGCCUCUGGAGAGGGAGGAGGAGAAGUAAAGGCCUGGGUGAGGGGCAGUGAACAUGAGAUACUUGAGAAAAAUAAGAAGGCCCGAGGGGCCAGGUAUCGGUGAUGACUCAUGUCGGUAAUACCAGCACUUUGGGAGGCUGAGGCAAGAGGAUCACUUGAGCCCAGAAGUUUGGGGCCAGCCAGGGCAACAUAGUGAGACCCCCAUCUCUACCAAAAAAUAGAAAAAAUUAGCGGGGCAUGGUGGCACAUGCCUAUGGUCCUGCUACUCAGGAGGCUGAGACAGGAGGAUCACUUGAGUCCGGGAGGUUGAGGCUGCAGUGAGCCAUGAUCAUGCCACUGCACUCCAGCCUAGGUGACAGAGUGAGACCCCGUCUCAAAAACAAACAAACAAAAAACCCCAAGGCUGCGGAGCUGAUGCGGUGGGUAAGGGUGAGACUCAGGACUCCACUUUCUCUGUCCUGCCCAUUGGCGUUCCAGGUAGGACGUCCUUGGGAGACAUGGUUUGCUACGUAUAGCUACAUGGAAAGAUCCCAGGACUAACCAACUUGUAAAGCCCUUAGGGCAGGAAGAUUUUAGGGUAACUCUUGCAUCUGGCUUGGGGUCAGCACGCACUCAGGCCUGCUCUGAGAUGGAGGACCACUGGCUCAGUUUACCUUUGGAAUGGGCAGGGUCGGGGAGCAGCAAGGACAGGGCCAGGAGUUGGGAAGUCCUGGGCCCAUCCCAGACCCUAAGCCCCCUCUGUAACAGUGAGACCCUGGGCACGUCACCUAAGCACUCUGGGCCUCCAAUGAUAAUCCCCUGUCCACCUGGUGUUUUAGUGGGUCAAUAUGACAGCCGCUGUUCAUUCGGCACUGCUAGUGUGUUACCUCGGUGACUCAUUCCGGUGACCUACUGGUCACCCCAUUCAGCAGAUGCUUCCUGGGAAGAUGGUGAAGACAAACUGAGCCUUUAUGUCCGAAUGGCUCUUUACAACCUGCAAAAGGCACUUUCGGACCUAAUUCAAUUUGAUCUUCACACAAAUCCAGAAGCCAGGCAGGCAUGCUUCAUCGUUCCAUUUAAAGUUGAAGAAACUGGCUGAGCACGGUGGCUCAUGCCUGUAAUCCUGUAAUCCCAGCUCUUUGGGAGGCUGAGGAAGGAGAAUUGCUUGAGGCGAGGAGCAACAUGGCAAGACCCUGUCUCUACAAAAAAUAAAAAUAAAAAUAGGUUAGGCACAGUGGCUCAUGCCUGUAAUCCCAG